rnacentral:rRNA from 1 species
GUGCCAGCCGCCGCGGUAAUACAGAGGGUGCAAGCGUUAAUCGGAUUUACUGGGCGUAAAGCGUGAGUAGGUGGCUCGCUAAGUCGGUUGUGAAAGCCCUGGGCUCAACCUGGGAAUUGCAGUCGAUACUGACGAGCUAGAGUUCGGUAGAGGGUGGCGGAAUUCCCGGUGUAGCGGUGAAAUGCGUAGAUAUCGGGAGGAACAUCGAUGGCGAAGGCAACCACCUGGGCCUGAACUGACACUGAGACACGAAAGCGUGGGUAGCAAACAGGAUUAGAUACCCUCGUAGUCC